rnacentral:rRNA from 1 species
AUGGACGUCACACCACCACCGCAAGCACGAAGAGGACCGAUGACAAGAGCUCGCACACGCGCAAUCGAAACCGAGGUUAAUUCUUUCCUCUUUGAACUUCAUUCGGAUUCACACGAGAGUUGGAUUCUACCUCAAAUGGAAACAUUGUGCAUUCUUAGGUACUUCAGAGAUGAUCGCGAGGAAGCAUGGAAGGAACACCAAGUCCACCCGAAGGUUCAAGCACGCACGAGGUCUCCCGGGGAGGGAGAAGAGAGGAGUGGUCCAGACAAGGAAGACCGGAGGCCCCUGGACACUCCGGGUGCCUGGACGUGGACAUCCCCGGAUACCCGGUCCCCUAGCAGCCGGCCGCCCUCCCUCCUGGACGCACCGGGUGCUCGGCCCCGCUGCUGGGCACUACAGCCGCCGCCCCGGGUGCCCGGCCCCUGCGCUGGGAGCUGCUGCCUCCGCCCGGGUGCCCGGGCUUGGAACCCCCGGGUGCCCGGCCCCCCUCCAGCCGGCCCUCUGCCCAGUCCGGGUGCCCGGCCCUUGCUGCCCCAGGUGCCCGGCCUCACCUCUACGCCCGCCUCUGUCUGGUCCGGGUGCCCGGACCCCUCCGAAUGCGUGCGUGCAUUUUUCAGUUUUGACCCUUGUAUCCCCCUCUCCCUCACAAUUCGUCCCUAG